AUGCCAUAGCGAGGACGUAGCUGUGUCCUUUUUCCAGUCAAGUAAAUUGAUCUCCCCUUGCAGAAGCGGGGAUAAAAACAUAAGACGAGAAGACCCUAUGGAGCUCUACACACUAAAGUGGAUCGCGUCCAUAAGCCAUAAACAAAGGCAUGAAGCCAAAUGAACCCACCUUGAUUUCUUUGGUUGGGGCGACCGCGGGAAACUAAUUAACCGCCAUGUGGAAUGGGAAAACUCCUCCCACAGCUGAGAGUAACAACUCCAAUAAACAGAACUUGUGACCAAAAAGAUCCGGCAAUGCCGAUCAACGGACCUAGUUACCCUAGGGAUAACAGCGCAAUCCUCUUUUAGAGCCCAUAUCGACAAGGGGGUUUACGGCCUCGAUGUUGGAUCAGGACAUCCUAAUGGUGCAUCCGAUAUUA
rnacentral:rRNA from 1 species